rnacentral:lncRNA from 1 species
UAUCAAGCACCAUUUGGAGUCGGGAAUAUCGAAGGCCAAUCUGCAUCCUUCGUGAGACCCUUCAAUCCAUCUAGUUCUCCUUCUGGAGUUCAUAUCCAAAUCUGAUCCAUUCGAGUGAGCCGAGCUUAGGUUCCUUCAAGUGGUAUCAGAGCCACUCGUUUGGUAUCUUCUAAAUCAUUCAUCUUUCUCAUCUUCCAUUUCUAAAUCAUAAAUACUUCUUCUUCUAUCUAUCUUGAAUCCGGGCUCCUCAUUACCAUCCUCUAUCUAUUAAAAAAAAUAUCUAUCUAUAAAAGAAAAAAAAAAGAAUUUGAAAAGUUUUUCAUUUGGGGAUCGGUG